rnacentral:piRNA from 1 species
UACCCUCAAGAAUGACUGCAAGGCCUGA